rnacentral:lncRNA from 1 species
GCGGCAGUAACACGACUGUGGUCUCUCAGCAGACGGACUGGCAAGAGAUCCUUGCUCAUUGUUGGAAAGUUGUUCCAUGGUGAAGGCCUAGACUGGGCCACGGAGACUUCUGGAUGCAGCCUUUGACAAAGGACACAGGUACUUCUUGGCAUUGUUCUCUUUUCUCUUAUAAAUCUGGGUCAAGAAAAGGGCAAAUCCCUGUCUGGGUCUGGGAGAGGGGAAUUAGGAUAACGUAGCUGGGUUAGGCCAUGCAUUAGUGACUGCGGUAUUAUUUGGGGUAUUACUUGUUCCAGGUCACUAGUAGAGUCUGAUACAAGAUGGACUCAGAAGAGAAAAAGGGACUAAAGGGUCAGAUUAAUCCUUGUUUGAAUCACUGCUUGGGUUUUCAGUAUCUGUGCAAAUUCAAAUGAUGUUGUAACUUUCCUGAGACUCAGUUUCCUCAUCUGUGAAAUGGUGACAACAAUGAUCACAUUUUACAUGAGGUGACAUAUAUAAAGCACUUAGCACAUGCUAGGGGCAUAAGAGCAGACCAAUAAAUAAUGACUGUCCCUAUUUUUCAGAAGUGAGCAUUUUGAUUAUUUAUGCUAAAGAGUACCAGCUUAUUCUAUUUGACUUCCAAGAAACAAUUUAAAAGGGGGGAAAAGUCAAGGAUUCACCCGAUUUUGGUUACCUAGCAACUCUUCUACCUCCAGAUUCCAAUUGGUAGCAGCUAUUGCCUGUCUGUAAACAGUUUUUCCAAACAAGCCAAAGGAACCCAGGAUAGUAUUACCUCAAAUAUGCAAAUGAAUCACCUGUUGGUUAAAAUGCAGAUUCUGAUUUAGGAUGCCUGGGGAGGCCCUGAGUCUGCAGUUUUAGCAAGCACCCAGGUGAUGCUACUGUGGCUGCUCUGAGGAACCAUACUUGGAGUUGCAGGACUGGUGCGAAUAGCUCUAAACACUGCCACCUGCAGCUCUCAUUGGUAGAGUAUGUCUAUUCUGAAGCCCUAGCUUAUUAGGUUUGUACCUACCCCAACUUCUGCCCUCACCAUAAGCUCAGUAUUAAUAGCAUGAAUAGUUAGCAUUUAUUGAGAAACUACUAUGUGCUAGACACAAUGACUGAAGAGGAUAAAUAACUUGCCCAAGGUAAGUCAGGGUCAGUCCCACUCUGAUCUCAGAGCUUAUCCUCUCAGCCACCAUACUUUGCUAUUCUCAUUAACUUUCUGAAUUUUAUCAGUCUUAAAGUGCUUGGUAUGAGUUUUUAGCUGCUUUUUUCCAGGAGGUCUCCUCCCAAGACUGUGUGACUAACUCCUUGUCCUGAUACUUGGUUCAUUUUGCUGUUGGUCGCUGGCAGUUCUACUGUGAAUUAUCUCUCCCAUCUUUUUUCUCUAUUGGCCAUAGAUGUCUUUAUUCUUAUGUGUCUUCAAUUAAAAUGGUUAUAAAGGUUCGAUAUCAUUGGAAAGAAUGUAGAUGGUGAAGAAAUGUGAGUGGGUGGUGAAGGAAAGAAGGAAGGAUGUGGGCAGGAAGGUGGAAAGUCCCAGCUCCUGGUGAGUUGGUGCCAGUCAAGUGGUAAAAUUUCAAGACUGAGUUGUCAGAACUAACUUCCACAGAUUAAUGUGGUGUAAAACUGUGUCUGCUAGGUACAAAAUGUGUUGAGCAUUUUAAAAAGUUCCAUCUAAAAAUUUCAUGUAUUUCUUGUUUCAGCAUCAUUUCUGUGUGAAGCUUAUACAUAGAGUAGACAUUGCACCUCAAUGAUUUACCCAAUCAUUCAACUGAUGGGGAUGAUGCAAAGGAUCCAGCUUGAGUGCCUUUGAACAUCCUAUGGAAAGAACAAAAGGGAAGUAGUGUGUGGCACACCCAAAGCAAGGGAAAAGGCUGCAGAGGCAAGGGCACGUGGUUGGAACUCGGUCUGGAGGGAUGGGCCAGAGAUCCCCUCAUCCUAGUUCAGGAACAUGGAUCUGGACUGGUGCUGCAGAGAACAGAAAGCUACUGAGAGUUUGUACAUGGAGGAGAAACAAGGUCAUUUUUUUUGUUUUGUUUUGUUUUAGGAAGAGAAUUAUACAGGAUGGAGAAUUGAUGGGGCAGCAGCAAGACUGAGUUGUAAAACACCACGAAGGAGGGUCUCUAGUGGUUAUUCAGGGGAAGGAUGCUGAUGGAUUUGACUAGGGAAGUGGCAUGGUAGGAGGUGUUAGAGAAAAAUGGGUAGAUAUUAAGGAAAGUUUGGAGGUGGAUGGGGAGUUGAAGGACAGGAAGGAGACAAGAAUGAUGCCUGAGGGUUUGGCUUCAGUGACUGGAGAGCUGGCUUUUAUUCUGUUUGUACUGCUAUAACAGAAUAACUUGAGAUUGGAUAAUUUAUAAAAUGUAGGAAUUUGUUUUUUAUAAUUCUGGAGGCUGGGAAUUCUAAGUCAAGGCGUCAAUGAGUUGGUUGUCUGGUGAUGUUACAGCUCUUCUUCCAAAGUGGCACCUUGAAUACUGUGUCUUUUGAGGGGACAAAUGUGUCUUCAUAUAGCAGAAGGUGGAAGGGGGAAGGGACAAAUUCCCUCCAUCAGGCUCUUUUAUAGGCAUCUAGUCCCAUUCAUGAUGGCCAAGUUGUCAUUGACUCAACCACUUCCCAAAGGCCACACCUCCUAGUGCUGCGGCAUUGGGAAUUCAGUUUCAACAUGAAUUUCAGAGGGGACAAAAACAUUCAAACCAAAGCGGUGGAAGGAAAGUGAGUUUACUCUUGAGCAUCCAAUGGGGCUGUCUAAGAGGCAGCUGGAGACAUAAGAGAGAGGUGUGAGCUUGGCACACAGCUGUAGAGGUGAUGGGGUUGACAGCUGGUAACUUCAGAGAAUGUGGAGUGAUUCAUAAGAGACUCCUAGGCAGAAAGAACCCUGAGGACACUGACAUUUGGCAAUUCAUUUAUUCACUGACAAAUAAUGCCAUGGAAAAUAUCUUUCAGUGUAUCCCUUUGUCAAAACAUUCUUAACAUAUAUUUUUUUAGAGGAAGAACCUGAUGAGAGGAAUGGACGUUCCUUGAAUCCUGGUAUUGGAUGCUCCUUGGAUUCUGGCAUUGCAAAUUGCUCUAUAAGUUGGGCAUCCCAACUUGGCCACACAUGUCACGUCUUUGAGAGAAACAGCCUCAUGGCAAUCGGAGGAGCACUGAGUGCUCAUCAUCAAAGCCAGCUCGAUGGAUGAAAAUAGUGCCUUGUGAUCAUUUCCAUAUGCAUCUCUUACAUUUCCUGUGGGGGUGGACAGUUUCCAUAUUCUUUAAUAACGAAUCACAAUUUCUUUUAUGAAUUCUCCUUAAUCUCAUUUUCUCACUUAUCAACUGGUGCUGGGAUCCAUACAGCUUCCCCCAUUUCAAUAUUUCUUGACUAUUUUAGACAGAAAUAGUCUCUUUCAGCUUGACCUUCAUCCUUUAUCUCAGCUGGCUGUAUUAACUGUAUUGCAUUUUGUCGAUAAGACUGUGGGAAAUAGCUUCCUAACUUAGUGGUUGAGGAGGGAUGUCUGGUAAAUGAAGCCCAGGAGAGGAGUGUGACACCAGAAUUCUUUUCCUAAAGCCACGGAGAGUGGAAUGCUGAGCCACUUCUCUCACCCUCAGCCGUUUUCUCAUUUCCUCACUUGUAAGGUCUUUGUGUAUUUCCCUUUUCAAUUCCAGCUUUUGCUUCAUGUAUUUUUCAAUUCUCUUGUAUGAAGCACAUAUGCUUGGAGUUGGUGUCAUCUUCAUGGAAUGGCCCUUUUAUCAUUAUAAAAAGUCCUUCUAUCUUUGAUAAUUCUUUUUGCUUUGAAGUUUAAUUUUUUAUAUUAAUAUAAGCAUUCUUGCUUUGUUUUGUUAAUGUUUCUAUAUCAUUUUAUCAUUUUAUUUUUAACUUAUCCGUAUCAUUAUAUGUGAAGGGUUUCUUUAUGAUAACGUACAUUUGAAAAAAAUAUGCUCCUCCAUUCUCUGUCCUUAGUGUAUUUAGAUCAUUUAAAUUUAAUAUGGUAAUUUUUAUGUUGGAGUUUAAAUCUUCUGUUUUAUCCCCUUCUUAGCAAUUGACAGAAAAUCAGCAAGGGUAUAGAAGAACUAGCUCUAUAGCAGUAUCUUACAACAGUAUCAACAGUAACAUACAAUAGGAUCUAUUGUUGAAAUUUAUAGAACAUCAUACCUAAUAUCAGAACACAUAAUUUUUUCAAGCACCCAUGAACCAUAAAACAAAGUAGACCAUAUCCUGAGACAUAAAACAAACCUGAACAAAUUUAAGAGUUGAAAAAAACUAUAGAAAUGAAAGAGCAAAAUAAAACCAAAGCAACUAGAAGGAAAGAAAUAAUAAAGAUAAGAACAGAAAUUUAAAAAAAAUAAAGUGAGGUCUUUGGAUUAGUUAAAUGUGAUACACACAGUUAAGGUGAUUCUUCACUAACCAUUAUUUCUAACCAUCUUCUCUGGAUGGAUAAAUUUGGGUGGAUGAAACUGCUUUGCCUUAUAGGGGGAGAUACACACACACAUAUUUUAUACACACACACACACACACACAUUUUGGUGGUUCUUGGGUACUGGGGAUUGAGCUACUAAGGGACACUCAACCACUGAGCCACAUUCCCAGCCCUAUUUUGAAUUUUAUUUAGAGAUAGGGUCUCACUGAGUUGCUUAGCACCUGCUGUUGCUAAGGCUGGCUUUGAACCUGCAAUUCUCCUGUCUCAGCCUCCUGAGCUUCUAGGAUUACAGGCAUGUGCUAUCACAUCUGGCAAGAGGUAUGUAUUUAAGCAAAGCUUUUUUCCCUUGGGAUCUGUGACAGAAUGAGACAAAGGAAAACCCACUAAAUGCUCUGCUCUGCCUCUCAACCAGAGAUAUAUUCCUCAGCUGUUGUUGCAGAAUGAGAGGGGAGUACAUUCUCUGUGGAAGGGUACCCACCACGCCUGUUUGGCUCCUGGACCCUGCGGGCAUCUGGCUUUCCAUAUCCACUUGUCCUGUUGCUGGCCAUCCUUAUACCAGGCACCACAUGCAACAUCUAUGCACAACAACUCUUCUGUAUAUGCAUCUUCCUGUAGCAUUUAGAGAUGUUCCCUAGGAGAUGUAGAAUUGGCAUCGCUGGGUCCUGGAGAAUGCACGUUCUCAAUUUUAAUAGAUUAAAAACUCGAAACUAAUUUAACUCCAUGAUGGGGAUUUUAAGAGGCCCUGAUCUGCAGUACUCACCUUGCUAACAUUAAUUAUUUGAAAAUUUACAGAACAUGUGACCUUUGAGACUGACUUUUUUUUCACUUGGCAUAAUGUCCUUGAGAUCCAUCCAAGUUGUCCAUAUAUUAAUCAUAGUUUUUUUUUUAUUGCCAAGUAGCAUUUCAUGAUAUGGAUUUACUAAAAUUUGUAUAACCAUUCACCAGAUGAAGGACAUUUUGGUUGUUAACAGAUUUUGGCUAUUACAAAUAAUGCUGUUAUUAUGAAUAUAACAUGAAAACUAAUAUACAGAUUUUCAAAAUUUGUCCAUACUGUAGCAUAUAUCAGAACUGUGUUCCUUCAUAGUUGAACAAUAUUCCAUUGUAUGGACACACCACAUUUUGUCUGUCUAUUCAUCAGGUGAUGGACUUUGGAAGUUUCUUUUUGUUUAUGAAUAGUUCUUUGUGAACAUUUAUAUAUUCACAUAUGAACAUCUAAACUAGAAAUGUCUACUCAAGUAGAAAUAAACAUACAAAAAUUUUAAAAUUGUGUUUUUAUUGUUGAAUUGUAAGGGUGAUUCAUAUAUUCUAGAUACUUGAUACUUAUCAGAUUUAUGAUCUGCAAAUUUUUUUGGGUCAUUCUGUGGAUUGCAUUUUCAAUUUCUUCAGAGUAACCUUUGAUGUUCCAAAUAUCUUUUGCUAUCUGUUGAGAUUGGGUCAUUUCUAUUGUUCUGUCUUCACUCCCACUGCUUCUUCUGUCUUCUCCAUUCUGCUGUUGAGCCUACCCAUUAAAUUUUUAGUUUCGGUCAUUGUAUUUUUCAAUUCUAAAAUUUCCAUUUGAGUUUUCAUAUUUCCUUGCUGAGACUUUCCAUUUCUUUGCUGAGACUUUCUAGUUUUUCAUUGUGUUUAUAAUUGCUCACUAAAAGUCUAGUUAGAUAGCUGUGUCAUCUUGGUGUUGGCAUCUCUUCUUUUUUUUUAAAUUCAAGUUGAGAAUUUCCUGGUUUUUGAUAUGAUGAGUAAUACCUAACAAAUAUCCUUGUGUUAUAUUAUGAAACUCUGGACCUUUUAAAAAUCUUCCUUUCUGCCAGAUAUCCUCUAUACUGCAUUGACAGGAGAAGGAAGUCUCUGCCUAGAUAUUUGCAGGGGAAGGGGGAAGUUCAGGUUCUCCUCUCAGUGUCUGUUGACACUUGAAGGGCACCUUGUUACUGCUGCUCAAGGGAGGUGUUCUGCCUCUCCACUAGUCUAGUUCUGAUCCCACUCUUAGGGGUACUUCAUCACUGCUCCUCAUGUGGCAUUUCAGGGAGUGACUUGUUACCUACAUGGGUGAAAGUCCUGACUCUUUACUAGAACUCCCCUGAUAUUACCCCAUUGGGUGGACCAAGAAGCACCUUGAUAACCAGAUGGAGGUAGAAGUCCAGGCUCCAGUGUGGGUCUCUAUUGGCAUGAGAGUGGGAAAUUCACAACUAGGUGACCUUUGAUGACCAUUUCUUGAAAAGGCUAUCUCGAUUUAAUUGCCUUUCCUCUUUUGUUAAAGGUUAGCUAACUUUAUUUUUUAUUGAUCUAUUUUGGGGUUUCCUAUUGUUUUCCUUUGAUCUAUUUGUCUGCUCUUUUCACUAAUAACACACUUUUUUUAAGAGAGAGAAAGAGAGAGAGAGAGAGAGAGAGAGAGAGAGAGAGAGAGAGAGAGAGAAUUUUAGUAUUUUUUUUUUAGUUUUUGGCAGACACAACAUCUUUGUUUGUAUGGGGUGCUGAGGAUCGAACCUGGGCCACAUGCAUGCCAGGCGAGCAAACUACCGCUUGAGCCACAUCCCCAGCCCGAUCAAUGUACUUUAAAGUAAUUCCUGAAGUUGUAUAGUGUCAGUCCUUCAACCUGUUUUUUUUUUUUUUUGUACUGGGGAUUGAACUCAGGGGUAUUUGACCACUGAGCCACAUCCACAUCCCCAGGUCUAUUUUGUAUUUUAUUUAGAGACAGGGUCUCACUGAGUUGCUUAGCACCCUGCUUUUGCUGAGGUUGGCUUUGAACUCAUGAUUCUCCUGCCUCAACCCCUCAGCCCCUGGGAUUACAAGUGUGCUCCACCAUGCCUGGCUCAACCUGGUUUUCUUCUUCAGUAUUGUAUUGUCUGUUCUUUUGUUUGGUUUUAUUUUUUAAUAAGCUUCAGAAUCAAUUGUUGAUAUCUGCAAGAUAAAUGUUUGGGACUUUGAGAUUAAGUCUGUGGAUCAGCAUUGAAUCUAUAGAUCAAGUUGGAAAAAAUGACAUCUUAACAAUAGUGGGUCUUUUUAGUUAUGAACAUGAGAUAAAUAACACUCCCUUAUUUAGAUUUUCCCAAGUUUUCUUUCAUCAGAAUUUUGCAGCUUUAAGGAUCUUGUACAUAUUUUGUUAGAUUUAUUCCUACAUACAGCAUAAUCUUGGGGUAUUAGUAUAACAGUUGAUGUCAUGUUUAUAAUUUCAAAUCCCAGUUAUCAUUGCAGAUAUUAAUUAUAAUGAAAACAAUUGACUUUUAAUGUUAACUGUGUGUCCUACAAUGUUUCUAUAAUAUCUUGUUAAGGCCAGGAAGUUAUUUGCUUAUUGUGGGGGGGAUUUUCUAGAUAGACAUUCAUGUCAUCUCUGAAUAGAAAUAAUUUUAUUUCUUCCUUUGCAAUCUAUAUACCUUUUGUUUCCUUUUCUUUUCUUAUUACAUUAGAUAGGACUUCCUGUGCAGUUUAAAUAGGAGUGCUAAGAGGGAACAUUUUUGCCUUCUUCCUGAUCUUAGAAUGAUUGCAUCUAAUUUCUCACGAUUAGGUGAGAUGUUGGCUACAGAUAUUUUUAAUAGAUGUUUUUAAAAAUCAAGUUGAGAAAAUUCUUCUCUAUUCCUGAUUAGUUGAGAGGGUUUUUUUUUUAAAAAAUCAUGAGUGGGUGUUGAAUUUUGCCAAAUGUCUUUUCUAUAUUAAUAGAUAUGAUCAUAUAAUUGAUCAUAUCACUUUAGCCUGUGGAAGUGGUGGGUUGUAUUAAUAACUAUUUUGAAUGUUGAACUAGCCUUUCAUACCGGGAGUCAAUUUCAGUUGGUCAUUACAAAUGAAAGAAUAUGUUUGAACAUUGUUGCACUCAAUUUGCUAAUAGUUUAUAAAGGAUUUUCACCUCCUAAUUCAUGAAAGAUAUGUAUCCGUGGUUUACUUUGGUGUAAUAUAUUUAUCUGGCUUGGAUAUUAGAAUAAUUUUGCCUCAUAGAUUGGGUUAAGAAGGACCCCUUUGUUUUUACUUUCUAGAAGAGAGUAUAGAGAAUUGAUAUUAUAUUUCUUUCUUAAAUGUUUGAUAGACUGCAUCAGGAAAAUCCCCUGGGCCAUUUAUUUUGUUUUAUAAAACCAUUAAUUAUUGAUUUAAUCUAUCUAACAGAUAUAGGCCUAAUUACAUUAUCUAUUUCUUUGUGUGGGUUUUGGUAGAUUGCGUUUUUCAAGGAAUUGGCCCAUUUCAUCUAAAUUUAUUAUUAAGUUUAUGGGAAUACAACUGUUCAUCGUAAUUCUUUAUUAACCCUUUAAUGUUUAUAGGAUCAGAAGCGAUGGCUCUUCAUUUGUAAUUUAGUUAUUUUGUUUUCUCUUGGUUAUUUUGGCUAUGUGUUUAUCAAUUUUAUUAAUGUUUUUCAAGAACCAGCUUUUGGUUUUAUUGAUUUUCUCUAGAUCUCUCCUGUUUUCAAUUUUAAUGACAUUUGCUUUAAUUUUUUAAUAUAUAUUUUUUAUUUUAUUCAGGUUUAUAUUGAUCUCUUUUUUGUAGUGCCCUAAUGUGGAAGUUAUAUUUCUGAUUUAGAUUUUUCUUACUUCCUAAUACAUACAUUCAACAAGUUUCUGCUUAAUUACUGCUUCCAUUGCAUCUCACAUAUUUUCAUCAAGUUUAAAAUAUAUUUUAUUUUAUUUUGAAAAUUUUUUUGACCUGUAUGUUGUCUAGAAAUGUGUUUAAUUUCCAAAUAUUGGAGUAUUUUCCAGCUAUCUUUCUCUUAUUGAUUUAUAGUUAAAUUUACUGAAAAUAUGUUUCAUAUUAUUUUUUGUACUCUUAAAUUUUUUAAACUGUGUUUUAUGUCCCAGAAUGUAGUAUAUAUCUCAUGAAUGUUCCAUAUAAACCAGAGAAGAAGAUGUAUUCUACUGAAUAAAUGGGUCUACAAAUAUUAGUUAGAUCAAGUUGACUGAUGAUGUUUAUACUUUAACUAUGCCUUUACUGAUUUUCUGCCUGAUGAAUCUGUUAAUUACUGAUAGAGGAAUGUUGAAGUCUCCAACUGUAAUAGUGGAUCAUUUAUUACUUCUUACAGCCUGUCAAGUUUUUUCUCAUGUAUUUUGAUGCACUGUUGUUAAUUGCAAUCACUCUAAAGAUUGUUUUGCCUCAUUGGAGUAUUGAACUCUAUCAUUACAAUUACGUAAAGAGUAAUGACCCUCUUUAUUCCUGAUAAUUUUCCUUAUCCUGAUGUCAGCUUUGCCUGAAAUUGAUUACUCCAACUUUCUUUUUAUUUGAGCUAGCAUUGUAUAUUUUUCUCUAUCACCUUAUUUUAAAAUUUAUUUAUUUUCAUUCCAUCCCUUUACUUUUAAUCUGUUUGUGUUCUUAUAUUUGAAGUGGUUUUAUUAAAUUCAAUAGUUAUGUUUUAAUCCACUCGGCCCCUUUCUGACUUCUGAUGGGUAUAGUUAGACAAUUUACAUUAUAAAGUCAUAAUUUAUAUAGUUAGAGUAAUACUCACCAUAUUUAUAACUGUUUUCUAUUUGUUGCAUUUAUUUCUUUUAAAAAAAUCUUCUAUUUUAUGCCUUAUCUAGUAGUAAUUGAGCAUUAUAUAUGGUGUCUUUUUCUUUCUUAUUUCAGCAUAUCAGUUAUAUUCCUUUUAAAAAUAUUUCUAGUGGUCACCGUAGAGUUGCAGUAUAUGUUUACAAUUAAAAAUUUAUUUUCAAACAACACGUGUGUGGUGAGGUACCUAGUACAGGAUGAUCUCAAUUUCUCCCUCUCAUUCUUUGUAACUGACAGGCAUUCAUUUCACUUAUUAAUAAGAUAUAAUCACCCAAUCAACUGUUGAUAUUAUCAUUUUAACAAAUAGUUAUCUUUUAGAUUAAUUAAGAAUAAAGAAAAUAAAGUUUUAAGAUCUAAGUUCCAGGCCUAUAUAAUUUUUAUUCUCUCUGAAGGAAUUUAAAAUUAUUUCUUAUAAAGCAUGGCUACUGGUGACCAAUUUUAUUUUUUUUCAAUAAAGGUUUUAAUUCUUCUAACUUGUGAGAGAAAUCUCCCCCUUUUAGUAGUUAUUUUUAGUUGUGUAUAACAUUGGGAUUCAUUUUGACAUAAUUAUAAAGGCAUUGGGUAUAAUUUGCUGUAAUUCAGUUCCAGGAUCUCCCUUUUUCCUCCCACCCCAUUCCAUUCCCCGUACUCUAUUGAUCUUUCCAUUAUUUACUUUUAGUUUAGUUAUUUUUUUUUUUAGUUAUACAUGAUGGCUAGAUUCACUGUGGUUCAUUCAUAUAGGUACAUAAGAAAGUUACGUUACAUUCAUUCCAGUGUUCUGUCACAUUUCUUCUGCCUUUCCCUCAACCACUUCUUCUAAUUCACCGACCUUUCUUCUAUUUUGAUGAAAUCCCUCCUCCCUCUACCCUCUCUCUCCCUCUCUCAAACCUCCCCUCCCUUAUUUUGGACUAACAUCUGUGUAUCAGAGAAAACAUACUACCUUUGAUUUUCAGGGUCUGGCUUAUUUCACUUAGUAUGAUAUUCUCCAUUUCCACCCAUUUACCAUCAAAUGCUAUAAUUUCAUUCUUUAUGGCUAAGUAACACUCCAUUGCAUGUAUGUAUAUGUGUAUUUGUAUGUGUGUGUGUGUAUAUAUAUAUAUAUAUAUAUAUAUAUAUAUACACAUAUAUAUAUCACAGUUUCUUAAUCCAUUCAUUUAUUGAUGGGCACCUGGGUUGGUUCUAUAACUUAGCUAUUGUGAAUUAUGCUGCUAUAAACAUUGAUGCAACUGUAUCCUUGUAGUACAUUGAUUUUAGAGGAGUAGGAUAGCUGGAUCAUAUGGUGUUUCCAUUCCUAGAUUUUAAAUUUUUUUUUUAGUUGUCAAUGUACCUUUAUUUUAUUUAUAUGUGGUGCUAAGAAUCGAGCCCAGGGCCUCACACAUGCUAGGCAAGCACUUUGCCACUGAGCUACAACCCCAGCCCCAUUCCUAGUUUUUUUAGAAAUCUCCAUGCUGCUUUCCAGAGUGGUUGCAGUCCUAUUAACAAUGUAUGAAUGAACCUUUGUCCCCAUAUGCUGGCUAAUACUUCUUAUUAUUGUAUACUUCAUGAUUGCCAUUCUGACUGGAAUGAAAUGAAAUCUCAAUGUUGUUUUGAUUUUUAUUUUCUUAAUUGCUAGAGAUGUUGAGCAUUUUUUCAUAUAUUUGUUGGCCAUUUGUCUUUCUUUCUUUCUUUUGUUAUUGUUGUUGUUGUUGCAGAAACCAAGUUUUAUGUGCUGAGUUUAUUUCUAUGGGUAAUAUUAAUUAAUAGUGAUGCUUAAUUGAAGUUCACAAAUAUAAACUCAUAAUUUAUAACAUAUAAUUUGCAAUAAAAAUUCUUGCUUUGUAUAUUUAACAUUAUCCAAUUAAUAUGUGGGUGUUUUUUUGUUUUGUUUUGUUUUCUUUUCUUUUCUUGCCUCUGCCCAGCAAUGAGCAAAUAUAAUGGUUAUUCUGGUAAGUUUGGUUUUCUAUUUCUCCUGGUCCUCAAUUUUAUUAGGCUAGGUAUACUUUAUUAUUCAUGCAAAACUCUUCCCCUCUAUUAUUUUUUGUUUGUAUAUUUAAACAUUUUUUAUUUUUAAUUAAUUUUUUUAUUUAUUCUAGGUAGAUAUAUAUGACAGCAGAAUGCAUUUUGAUUCAUUGUACACAAUUGCAGCACAACUUUUCAUUUCUCUGGUUGUACAUGAUGUAGCGUCGCACCAUAUCUGCAGUCAUACAUGUAACUAAGGUAAUAAUGCUCAUAUCACUCCACCAUCUUUCCUGCCCCCAUGCACCUUCCUCCCCUCCCUCCACUUUGCCCAAAGUUCCUCCAUUUUUUUCAUCCCCCUAGCCCCCACUAUGGAUCAGCAUCCACUUAUCAGAGAGAACAUUCUGUGGCCUUUGAUUUUUGGGGAUUGGCUUAUUUCACUUAGCAUUAUAUUCUCCAACUCCAUCCAUUUACUAGAAAAUACCAUGAUUUUAUUCUCUUUUAAUGUUGAGUAAUAUUCCAUUGUGUAUAUAUACCACAGUUUCUUUAUCCAUUCAUCUAUUGAAGGGUUUCUAGAUUGAUUCCACAGUUUAGCUAUUGUGAAUUGAGCUGCUAUAAACAUUGAUGUGGCUGCAUUAUUAUAGUAUGCUGAUUUUAAGUCCUUUGGGUAUAGACCAAGGAAUGGGAUAGCUGGAUCCAAUGGUGGUUCCAUUCCCAGUUUUGCAAGGAAUCUCCAUACUGCUUUCCAUAGUGGUUGCACCAAUUAGCAGUCUUACCAGCAAUGUAUGAUUGUGUCUUUUCCCCCAACAUCCUCACCAACAUCCUCAAUCAAGAAUUGUAUUCUUGAUUACUGCCAUUCUGACUGGUGUGAGAUGAAAUCUUAGAGUAGUUUUGAUUGGCAUUUCUCUAAUUACUAGAGAUGUUGAACAUUUUUUUCAUAUAUUUAUUGAUCGAUUGUAUAUCUUCUUCUAAGAAGUGUCUGUUUGUCUCCUUAGCCCAUUCAUUGAUUGUUUUUUUUUUUUUUUGGGUGUUAAGCUUUUUGAGUUCUUUUAUAUAUCCUGGAGAUUAGUGCUCUAUCUGACAUGUAUGUAGCAAAAAUUUGCUCCCAAAAUGUAGGCUCUCUAUUCACCCUAUUGAUUGUUUCUUUUGCUGAGAAGAAGCUUUUUAACUUUAAUCCAUCCCAUUUAUUGAUUCUUGAUUUUAUUUCUUAUGCUUUAGGAGUCUUGUUAAGGAAGUCAGGGCCUAAUCCUAUGUGGUGAAGAUUUGGGCCUUUUUCCUCUAUUAGGCGCAGGGUCUCUGGUCUAAUUCCUAGGUCCUUGAUCCACUUUGCAUUGAGUUUUGUGCAUGGUGAGAGAGAGGGGUUUAGUUUCAUUUUGCUGCAUAUGGCUUUCCGGUUUUCCCAGCACCAUUUGUUGAAGAGGCUAUCUUUACUCCAGUGUAUGUUUUGGUGCCUUUGUCUAGUAUGAGAUAACUAUAUUUAUAUGAGUUUGCCUCUGUGUCUUCUAUUCUGUACCAUUGGUCUACAUGUCUAUUUUGGUGCUAGUAUCAUACUGUUUUUGUUAGUAUAGUUUUGUAGUAUAAUUUAAGGUCUGGUAUUGUGAUGCUUUCUGCUUCCCUUUUCUUGCUAAGAAUUGCUUUGGAUAUUUUGGAUCUCUUAUUUUUCCAAAUGAAUUUCAUGAUUGCUUUUUCUAUUUUUAUAAGGGAUGACAAUGGGAUUUUAAUUAGAAUCACAUUGAAUCUAUAUAGCGCUUUGAGUAGUAUGGCCAUUUUGACAAUAUUAAUCUUGCCUAUCCAAGAGCAUAGGAGGUUUUUAUAUCUUCUAAGGUCUUCUCCAAGACCAUGGGGGACUUUUACAUCUUCUAAGGUCUUCUUCAAUUUUUUUCUUUAGUGUUCUGUAGUUUUUAUUGUAGAGGUCUUUUACCUCUUUUGUUAGACUGAUUCCCAAGUAUUGUAUUUUUUUGAGGCUAUUGUGAACAAGGUAGUUUUCCUAAUUUCUCUUUUAGAGGAUUUAUCACUGAUGUAAAGAAUUGCAUUUGAUUUAUGAGUGUUGAUUUUGUAUCCUGCUACUCUGCUGAAUUCAUUUAUUAAUUCUAGAAGUUUUCUGGUGGAGUUUUUUAGAUCCUCUUAGAAUCAUGGCAUCAGCAAAUAAUGAGAGUUUGAGUUCUUCUUUUCCUAUUCAUAUCCAUUUAAUUUCUUUCAUCUGUUUAAUUGCUCUGGCUAGAGUUUCAAGGACCAUGUAGAAUAGAAGUGGUGAAAGAGGGCAUUCCUGUUUUGUUCCAGUUUUUAGAGAGAAUGCUUCUAAUUUUUCUCCAUUUAGAAUGAUGUUGGCCUUGAGUUUAACAUAGAUAGCUUUUACAAUGUUGAGGUAUGUUUCUACUAUCCCUAGUUUUCCUGGUGUUUUGAACAUGAAGUGGUGCUGUAUUUUACCAAAUGCUUUCUCUGCAUUAAUUGAUAUAAUCAUAUGAUUCUUAUCUUUAAGUUUUUUGAUUUGAUGAAUUACAUUUAUUGAUUUCUGUAUGUUGAACCAACCUUGCAUCCCUGGGAUGAACCUCACUUGACCAUGGUGCACUAUUUUUUAAAUGAGUUUUUGUAUUCAAUUUGCCAGAUUUUAUUGAGAUUUUUUUGCAGCUAUGUUCAUUAGGGUAAUUAGUCUGAAAUUUUCUUUUCUUGAUAUGUCUCUGCCUGGUUUUGGUAUCAGGAUGAUAUUAGCUUUAUAGAAUGAGUUUCGAAGGGUUCCCUCCUUUUCCAUUUCAUGGAAUAAUUUGAGAAAUAUUAGUAUUAAUUCUUCUUUGUAGGUCUUGUACAACUCAGCUGCGAAUCCGUCUGAUCCUGGGCUUUUCUUGGUUGGUAGGCUUUUGAUGCUAUCUUCUAUUUCCUUGCUUGAAAUUGAUCUGUUUAAAUUGUGCAUGUCAUCUUGACUCAGUUUGAAUUGAUCAUAUGCCUCUAGAAAUUUGUCAGUGUCUUUGAGGUAUUCUAUUUUACUGGAGUAUAAAUUUUCAAAAUAGUUUCUAAUUGUCUUCUGUAUUUCAAUAGUGUCUGUCUGAUAUUUCCUUUUUCAUCAGGAAUUUAAGCAAUUUGAGUUUUUUCUCUUCUACUUUUUGUUAGGGUGGCUAUGGGUUUGUCAAUUUUGUUUAUUUUUUCAAAGAAAACCAGCUUUUUGUUUUGUAAAUUUUUUGAAUUUUUUGUUUCAAUUUCAUUGAUUUCUGCCCUGAUUUUAAUUAUUCCCUGUAUUCUAUUACUUUGGUAUUGGCUUGUUCUUCUUUUUCUAGGGCUUUGAGAUAUUAAUGUCAGGUCCUUUAUUUGUUGAUGUUUCAUUCUUUUAAUGAAUGAACUUAAUGCAAUGGACUUUCCUCUUAGUACUCCUUCAUAGUGUCCUAUAGGUUUUGAUAAGUUGUAUCAGAGUUCUCAUUUACCUCUUAAAAGCAUUUUAUCUCCUCCCUGAUGUCUUUUAUUUUCCAUGCAUCAUUCAAUAGAGUAUUGUUUAGUGUCCAGAUGUUGGAUUAGUUUUUAGUUUUUAUUUUAUCAUUGAUUUCUAAUUUCAUUCCAUUAUGGUCAGAUAGAAUGCAAGGUAGUAUCUCUAAUCUUUUGUAUUUGCUAACACUUGCUUUGUGGCAUAACAUAUGGUCUAUUUUGGAGAAGGAUCUAUAUGCUGCUGAGAAGAAUGUGUAUUCUCUCGUUGAUGGAUGGAAUAUUAUAUAUACAUAUAUAUCUGUUAAGCCUAAAUUAUUGAUUGUUUUAUUGAGUUCUAUAGUUUCUUUGCUUAGUUUUUGUUUGGAAGAUCUAUCAAGCGGUGAGAGGGUGUAUUAAAGUCAUUCAGUAUUAUUGUGUUGUGGUCUCUUUGAUUCUUGUAGUUGAGAAGAAUUUGAUAUACAUAGAUGCUUCAUUGUUUGGGGCAUAGAUAUUUAUGAUUGUUAUGUCUUGUUGAUGUAUGAGUCCCUUAGGCAGCGUGAAACAUCCUUCUUUAUCCCUUUUCACUAGCUUUGAUUUGAAGUCGACUUUAUCUGAUAAGAGGAAGGAAACCCCUGUUUAUUUAUGCAGUCCAUGUGAGUGGUACUUUUUUCCCACCCUUUCACUUUCAGUCUGUGGAUGUCUUUUCCUGUGAGAUGAGUCUUUUGAAGGCAACAUAUUAUUGUGUCUUUUUUAAAAAAAUCCAAUCUGUCAGUCUAUUUCUUUUAAUUGAUGAAUUUAGGCCAUUCACAUUCAGGGUUAUUAUUAAAGUACGAUUUGUAUUCCCAGACAUUUUGGUUUAUUUUUGGUUUUUAACUUGACUUGGUUUCUCCUUUGAUUUACCUUUCCUUUAGUGUAGCUCCUCCCUUUGUUGAUUUUCAUUGUUUUUUUUUUUUUUUUCAUUUCCUCAUCCUGGAAUAUUUUGCUGAGGAUGUUCUGUAGUGCAGGCUUUCUCACUGUAAAUUCUUUUAACUUUUGUUUAUCAUGAAAGGUUCUUAUUUUGUCAUUAAAUCUGAAGCUUAAUUUUGCUGGAUAUAAGAUUCUUGGUUGGCAUCCAUUUUAUUUCAGAGCUUGGUAUAUGUUGGUCCAGGAUCUCCUGGCUUUGAGAGUCUGGAUUGAAAAAUCUGUUGAGGUACAAAUUGGUCUCCCACUAUAUGUAAUCUGAUUCCUCUCUCUUGCAACCUUUAAGAUUCUGUCCUUAUUCUGUAUGCUAGGCAUUUUCAUUAUAAUGUGCCAUGGUGUAGAUCUAUUGUAAUUUUGUACAUUUGGUGUCCUGUAAUCCUCUUGUGUUUGAUUUUCCAAUUCAUUCUUCAUAUUUGGGAAAUUUUCCGAUAUUAUUUAAUUAAAGAGAUUGUGCAUUCCUUUGAUUUGAAUCUCUGUGCCUUCCUCUAUCCCAAUAAAUCUUAUAUUUGGUCUUUUAAUGCUAUCCCAUAAUUCUUGGAUGUUCUGUUCAUGGUUUCUUACUAUCUUCCCUGUGAGGUCAACUUUAUUUUCAAGAUUAUAUAUUUUGUCUUCAUUUUCUGAUGUUCUGUCUUCCAAGUGAUCUAGGUUGUUGGUAUGCUUUCUAUUGCAUUUUUUAUUUGGUUUAUUAUUUCUUUCAUUUCAAGGAUUUCUGAUUGUUUUUUUUUAAAAUCUCUAUCUUUUUCUUGAAGUAAUCUUUUGCUACCUGUAUUUACUCCCUUAUCUUUUUGUUGGUGUGAUCAACGGUUGCCUAUUUUUGCUCCCUUACCUUUUUGUUGGAGUGAUUUUUUUUCCUGUAUUUUGCUCUCUUAUGUAAUUCUUUAAUUCAUGGAUCAUUUAAAUUAUGCUCAUUCUGAACUCCUUCUCUGACAUUUCAUCAACUGUGCUGUCAAUGGAUUCUAUUAUAUCUUAGUUUGUUUGGGGCACUUUCUUCCCUUGAUUUUUCAUAUUGUCUAUGUGUCUUCCUUUCUUGCAGUGCAGAUCUGAGGUAUUACAGUUUCUACCCUAUAAUCUUGUAGUGUCUCUGCAGAUUACUUGUAUCACACCCUGGUGUUGGGCUUCCAGUCUCUGGCCAGUGUACUAAGAUGGAUGCUACUGCAACUAAAAGUGGUGGCAGCAAUAGUGGAGGUAACUCAAGAUAGCAGUGGGGAUGUUCCAAGAUGAAGCCUUACAAUGGCUUUGGGCUGCCUAUUUGGAGAUGCAGCUGUCUUCAGUUCCUCUCUGUUGUCCCAAGGUGUAGAUAACUACUUGGGGAGGGCUAUGAUGAUGGCUGCAGUGACUGACCCAAGAUGGAUGGGGGCUAGGCCUGGGCUCUUGCACGGGUCUGCUGGGCAGUCCUGGGCCAGGGCCUGGGCUCCAGGGUGGGUCUGUUGGUUGGUGGGGGCAGUCCUGGGCCUGACCUGGGCCUGGGCUCCCAGGUCUGUAGGGAAGUCCUGGGCCUGGGUCAAUGGGGGAGGUCCUAGGCCUGGGCCUGGGUUCCCACAAGUGUCAUCAGGGCUGGUCCUGGGCCUGAUCUGGGCCUGGGCUCCUGCAUGGGUCAUGUAUUUCUUCUUUUGAGAAGUGUCUAUUUGGUUCCUUUUUCCAUUUAUUAAUUGGGUUGUUUUGGUGUUAAGGUUUUGAAUUCUUUACAUAUUCUGGAUAUGAAUGCCUUAUCUGAGAAGCAGGUGACAAAGUUCUCUAAUCCUGUAGGCUCUCUCUUUACAUUCUCAAUGGUUUCCCUUGCUGUGCAGAAUUUUUUUAAAAAAAUUGAUGUCAUUUUACUUAUUUAUUUUUUGAUUUUAUUUCUUAUGUUUUAGGAGUCUUGUUAAGGAAGUUUGUUCUUACGCCAACAUGAUGAAGUGUUGGGCCUACAUUUUAUUCUGGUCAGUUUCACAGUUUCAGUUCUAAUUCCUAUGUCUUUGGUCCACUUUAAGUUGACUUUUGUGAAGGGUGAGAGAGAGGAGUCAAGUUUCAUUCUUCUGCAUAUGGAUUUCCAGUUUUCUUAGCACCAUUUGUUGAAAAAUCUAUAAUUUCUCAAAUGUAUGUUUUUGGUGACUUGUCUAGUAUAAGAUAAAUUGUAUUUAUGUGGGCUUGUCUCUGUGUCUUCUAUUCUAUUCCAUUGGUUUCAUGUCUGUUUUGGUGCUAGUACCAUGUUGUUUUUGUUACUAUGACUCUGUAGUAUAAUUUGAGGUCUGGUAUACUUCUAACAGUGCACUUUUUGCUCAGGAUUGCUUUGGUUAUUCAAGGUGUCUUAUUUUUUUUUUCCAAGUGAAUUUCACAACUGUUUUUUCUAUUUCUAUGAUGAACAACAUUGGAAUUUUGAUGGGAACUGAAUUGAAUCUGUAUAUUGCUUUUGGUAGCCAAUUUGAUAAUAUUAAUUCUGCCUAUCCAAGAACAUGGGAGAUCUUUCCAUCUUCUAAAGUGUUCUUCAAUUUUUUUCUUCAGUGUUCUAGAGUUUUCAUUGAGGAGGUCCUUCAUAUCAUUCAUUACAUUAAUUUCCAAUUAUUUUUUGUUUUAGAAGAUUCAUUAUGGGAUAAUUAUAGUUAUUUUGAUUUGUGUAUUGAUCUUGCAUCCUGCUACUUUACUAAAUUUGUGUCACAGCUCUAGAAGUCUUCAGGAAGAGGUUUUUUUUUUUUAUCUUGUAUAGGAUCAUUAUAUAUAUAUAUAUGAUCAUGUCAUCAGCAUAUAGAGAUAAUUUGAGCUCUUCUUUUUCUAUUUGUGUUUCUCUAAUUUCCUUCUCUUUCGGAUUGUUCUGGCUAGAGCUUCUAGGACUAUGUUGAAUAGGAAUAGUAAGAAUGGAUAUCCUUGUCUUGUUCCUGUUUUUAGAGGACAUGGUGUGAAAGGUAUUUUUGCUGGACACAGAAUUCUUGACUGGUAAGUUUUUAUUCCAAAACUUAGACAUUUCACUCCGUUGUUCUCCUGAUUAAACAGUAUUUGAAACAAAUCCUAGUGUUAUUCUUAUCCUUUUCCCCUUAUAGGUAAGUUGUCUUUUUUCUCUGACUUUUUCCAUGAUUUUUUCUUUGUUUUUGGCUUCCAAUACUUUGAAUAUGAUAUGCCUAGGUGUUGGGUUUUUGAAAUUUAUUCCAAUUGGUGUUUUCUGAGCUUCUUUGAUUUGUACUUGGUGUCUGUUAUCAAUUUCAGAAAAUCUCCAGAUAUUAUUGCUUCAAUAUUUCUCUUCUCCUCUUUUUCUUCUCUUUCUGGAAUUCCCAUUACACAUAUGUUAUACUUUUGUAAUUGUACUGCAGUUCUUGGAUAUUGUGCUCCACAUUUUUAUUCUUUUUUCUCUUUGAAAUUUAAUUUAAGAAGUUUCUAUUGAUACAGUUUCAAGAUCAUUGAUUCUUUCCUCAGAUGUGUCAAGGACACUGGUGAACCCAUUAAAGGCAUUCUUCAUUUCCCUUAUAAUAUUGAUUUUUAAUAUUUCUUUUUGGUUUUAUUUUUUAUAAUUUCCAUAUUGCUACUUCUAUUACUCAUCUAUUCUUCCAUAUUUUCAAUUAAAGCCUUUAGCAUAUUAAUCAUUGUUAUUUUAAACUCCCAGUAUGAUAAUUGGAAGAUUUCUGUCAUUUCUGAGUCUGGUUCUGUCACUUCAGACUGUGUUUUUUCUUGUUUUUACUCAGGACUUGUAUAUUUUUCAUUAAAAAUUGAACACGGUGUAUUUGGUAAUAGGAACUGAGAUAAAUAGUGUGAGCAUUUAUGUUUGUCUGGAAAGCAGUUAUGCUGUGUUUACUGUUUGCUAUAGUUGUAGGUUUGAUAGUUAAUUUUAUGUGUUAACUGGACUGGACUGUGAAGUAUCCAGAUUAAAUAUUAUUUGUGGGUAUGUCUGUGAAGGUGUUUCCAAAUGAAGUUAAACAUUUGAAUCAUGAAACUCAGAAAAAUAGAUGGCUUUUCCCAAUGUGGGUAGGCAGCAUUCAAUCAUUUGAGAUCCUAAAUAGAACAAAAAGCAGAGAAAGAAGAAAUUCUUUCCCCUUUUUUUUCCUGCCAAACUACUUGAGCUGGAACAUCUCAUCUUAUUCUGCCCUUAAAUUAGUAUUUACAUUAUUGGCUCUCUUGAUCCACAGACCUCUGGACUUGAACUGAAUUAUGCCAUUAGGCUUCCUGACUUCUAACUUAUAGAUGGCAGAUUAUGGUCACUUCUCAGCCUCCUUACUUGCAUGAACCAAUUCCUCAUAAAAAAAUCUUUGUCUCUGUAUUUCUAUUUCACACACACACACACACACACACACACCCCUCCUAUUCUGUUUCUCUGAUGAAUAUAGUAGGUGUCUGAGGCUUUAAUUUUUUUUCUCUUGUCUUAUGUUAUGAUAUAGAUAUUAUUAUGAUUUAGAUAUUGUUAUUCUCCAAAAGCUCAUGUGUGAGACAAUUCGAGAAAGCUUAGCAGUGAAAUGAAUGGGUCGUGAGAGCCUUAACCUAAUGAGUGCAUUAGUUCUUGAAUAGGGAUUGACUGGGUGGUGACUAUAAGCAGGUAGGGUGUGGCUGGAGGAGAUGGGUCUUUGGGGGCAUGCCUUUGGGUUAUGUAUUUGGUGAGCUGAGCUUAGUUUCUCUUUCUGUUCUUGGUGUGAUGUCUUGAGCCACUUUCCUCUACCACACACUUCUUUCCUGAUGUUCUUCUGCCUCACCUCAGACCUGGAGGAAUGGAGUAGGCUCUCUGUGGACUAAGACCCCUGAAACUGUGAGCCCCCCAAUAAACUUGCCCUCACUAAAAUUAUUCUUCUUAGGCCUUUUUGUCACAGCUAUGAAAAAGUGACUAAAACACUCAUGUUUUUCUCACCUCCAUUGUCUUUUGGUUUCCCUAGAAACUCUCUCUUAAAUAGAGUCUGAGCCUUGCUGUUCUCUCAAGAAUCCCCUGACAGAUGUAUCAGGAAUUAGUUGAAAGUUAAUUAAAUAUCAUAUGAAAUGGUUCUUUUUAUAUAUAAAUCACUAAAUUAAUUGAACAUAAUAUUUUAAAAUUAAAUUUAAAGGCUCAAGACAAAGCUGUUUUUAAAAUCCAUGAUUUUAACAAAUCAAAUACUAAUUUCAACAUGUGAAUUUUACUUAGUCUUGAUGGCUCCCAGCUGCAUCCUGCCCUCUUUUAGAAACCUAAAUGGUACCUACUAGCCAUGUGACUCUUGUAUCUUAAGCCAGCUAAAUUCUCAGUUUCCUUAUUUGGUUGAGGGAACCAUUUUUGCUUUGCUUAUCUUGAAGGGUUUUUGUGGGAAUUGUGUUUAGCUCUGUAAGCUGUAAAGGACUACUUUCCCUCAAACCUUUACCAUAAAGUAUAAUUGGUGAGAAUUUGACCAAUCUGCAUGGAGGACAGGCUACCUUAUAACUAGUCCUGAAACCUUAAAAAAAAAACAAAAACAAAAACAAAAAACAAAAACAAAUGCUGAAAUUGUGCUUCCCAAGGCCAGGCAGAACUAUGGAAAGCAGGUGGAACAGAAACAACAUUAGUGACAUUGAGUUAUGUUUUUGACAUUUUACUUCAUAUUUUUCCCCAGAAAAUAUUAAGAACAGAGUCUGUUCAGAAUUUUAGACUUUUCCCAUUUCCCAAAACAAAUUGUUCCUUUCAUUAGAAAAGAUCAGAUCCCAGGCUCAAAGCUUCUGGGAGACAAUAUUAUCUGGCAAGAAUUCAAUAAUUUAAAAAAAAUCAUUGUAAUUAACUUCUAUUUAUGUCUUAUGAUGCUAAUUUUUCAUUUACUAAGUGAUAUAUAGUUUCCUUUAAAAUAUAUUCAAAUGAAAAAAAAAACUAUCUUAGUAGUAGAAGUGAAAGGGAAAGGUAGUAAACAUUCAGAAAAAGGUAUAUAUAAGACUGAAGAAAAACUACUCCUUAAACUACUCUAAAAUGCUCUAAAGUUUUUCUUUGUACUGGUGCCUAUACUCACAUCUAAAACAAUGCAAACUCCAUCCACCUUGGUGUACUGCAGAAAGGUAGUUUGUCACUAGCUGCCUUUCUUGCAUUGGAUUGCCAUUUCUCAAAUCUACCCUGUAAAGUAAGAAUUAUCAUCUCCACUUAAUAGAAAAGGGAUUUCAGGUGUGUCUUUGAUCAAGGUCAUACCUCCUCAGUGGUGUGUUCAGUAUUUAAAUUGGUGAUGGGGAUUUGGGUUAAGGGGCAGGGAAGGGCCUGUGGGGAGAAGACAGUAUUGACACAGUUUCAUACAUUACCCCCUGCAGGUCAGGUUCUGAGGUGCUUACUGUGGGAAGUUCUGGAAGGGAAGAGCCCUGACAUAUUUAGUCCUUUAAAUAGGGUACAGUUGAGGCAAAAGAGUCUUUUGUCCUUAGAAGAAAGAUGCAGUUUUCCUUCUGGGCAGGUUUUGCUCAGAUCUUGAUCUGACUACAAGCAGAUGGUUUUCAAUGAGCAUCCAAAGGGAGAAGGAAUGGAGAGAGACAGAAGGAACAAAGGGAGGAGGGAGGAAAGGAUCGUUAGGAGAGUUUUGGUUCCCAAGAGCCCCAUACCCUUUCCUGGUAUGGGAUGUCUAUUUUGGGGACAUUGAGAUAUUUAGGCAUUUUACUAAGGUUGAAAAUGGGAAGUUUAUAGCACCUCAAUCCUGGCAGACAGAUGGAAACAAUUAACACUAUAUCUUAAAAAUCACAUAGUUGGAAGCUGCUUAGUAGCUCUGAUGCUUUAAAAUCCCUGUUUGUGUGGUUGGAAUAGAGAUGGAAAGAGAUGGGAAAUAAGACAUGUUCAGCACUUCUUCCAUGCUGAACACUCUAAUACAAUCUUCUCCAUGGUUCAAUAAAGUAGCUGCUACUAUUUAAUCAGAAUGCAAGACAGUGACCCAAAUCUCACAGUUCUAAAGCCAUUGUACAAUCAGUUAGUAGGUGAUUCGGAUUAGCAAAGAUCCUUAUUUCCUUAGAUAUUUGCAAACGAUCAUGUCAACAAAUGCAUAUGGUGUUCCUCCAGGUAGAUGACCUGAUCUACCAGUGGGUGCUUGUCACUCAGCACCUAUUCAGGGGACUUUUACCCAGGUGUCACAUCCAUAGGUAGGUUGUACCAGGACAGUGGGAUAGGUUGCUAAGAGACCAAGGAAAAUACCUGCUGACAGUAUAUGAAUGGGGAUGGUUUAGUGGUGACAGGAGAUAGUACCUUGUGGUGAAUGGAAAUAGUACCUUCAUCACUCAAGGUCUUUUACCAAGCAGGGCCUCCUCUUUCUUAUGGUGUUUUAUGUAAUGGCUUUCGACUGGAUGAGAGUCACAUAUCUUUCCCAUGGUGCCCUCAUUUUUGCCCCAGUUGCCACUGAGAGAGGGGUUUUAUAUGUUAGGCUGUAGAAUUGUGACAUCAUCAGCAUUAGCUUGCUUAGUUUGCUUGUAGCAUCCCAGUAAACAACUGUCCUGGAAUACAUGCAAGAAGGUAUCUUUCUACAGAUAAAACCAACUUGCCCUGAUUUCCAGAGUACAUAAGAGAAAGCCAGUGUCCUUCAAGAUAAUGCAUAUCUGGAUAUUCUGGCCAGACUUGCUCUUGUUGUUCCUUUAAUUUGGCAAGGUUUUUGGGAACAAAAAGGGGGUAUUCAGGGGCAAGGUUGAUACAACAGGUUUCCUGCUGGGGUGGGCAAAGGGGAGGUGUGAGGUUUGCCCUUGAAAAAAAACACCCCUACUCACAGGACUGGUGAAGCAUUAGAUGAGACAAGGGGUCUGAUCGGUGGACCCUCAGGGACUAUUCUACCCUUAGUGGAUACUCAGCCACAGGAGUCAAAAAGGUUUCUGCCCAGCCUUGCACAGUGUGGGAUGCAUUUGCUCUGCAAGCUAGCAGCUAGGCCACUUCUUUCUUUAGUCCAAGUAGCAUGGCAGGCAGUCCCUGUUCAGCUCUCUAACUUUACCACCCACCUCUGCCCCAAGCUCUGCCAUGCAGGACUUCUCUCUGUUCUUGAAAUCUGCCACAUCUUGAGAUUUUUGUUCCUGUUAUUCCCUCUGUGUAGAAUGUUUUUUCACAUGGUUGGUGCCUUUUCAACAUCCAAGUCUCAACUCAAAUGCCACCAUCCUACGCACCUUCCCUGAAGCUCCAAAGCCUGCUAUCGUGCAUCACCUCAUUUUAAUUUUCCUUCAUAAUCUAUCAUUCCAUGCAGUUAUUUUAUUUGCUUACCUGUUCAUUGCCUGUUUCCCUCUGCUUAUCCCCAAGUCUUACAAAGAUAGGAUGUUAUAUUGAUCACUGCUCUAUUCAGCUUGAAAUAUACUAGUCCUUAAUGAAGAAAGAAAUGCCUGAGGCAGGAGUGCUGGGACAGCUUCACAGAUGAAGUUCAGGCCACUGUUGCCAUGGCCCACUUAAAAGGAAGGCCCAAGUAGAAUCACUAAAGAUCAAGGGCAAGGGGUGAGCUUUAGCUCAGACCAGGUAGGGGGUUGCUGAAGGCUGGACAUGAACCAAAAGAAGUCCUGGCAGACAGGAUGCACGACAGCCUUAGUUAGAACUCUGGAGGGGGCACCAGGAAGUUCCUGGAUAGGUAAAAGGGGCCUGGGACAGAAAAGAUUUUGAGUGGCUAGAUAGAAGCGGUCAGAUAAUGGAGUCAAUAUAGAGAAUUAAGUUCACAAGAUGAGAUGCAGGAAGAUGCAUGAGAGAUGAAGAUGCAGUGCAGAGCUCCUCAGAAGGAGUGCUCAUUGGUUGGAUGUUUUCCCAGAGCAUCCUUGCUGGUGGGUGGACCAGGUUUAUGUGUGUGAUGGAAUCCCUGUGUCUUAUUAAUAGUUAACAAGCCCUUUUUUAGUCCACAGUGCAGAAGCAUCUCGCCUACCAGACCAUUUAGAAAAACUUGGAGAGAAGCCCAGAGGUGUCAUGGUAUGAUAGAAGGUUGAUAACUAUAUCCCAGCUCAUGACUGUGGGCUCCAUAAAGUGCUUAAUGUCAUUUCCUGAGCCUACAGCAUACAAUGGUGAAGUGUGCUGCCUUGGGAAUCAGGAGCAUAAACCCAAGUUCAAGCUGUGUGACUCUGACCCAGUCACUCAAUCCUUUUGUUCUUCAGUUUUCAUGUCUAUAAAAUGAGCAUGAUUAGAGUCCUUUUUAAAAAGGUUGUUCUGAGGUUUAAAUGAUUUCAUACACAUAAAGCACUCUGGACCCUGCCUGGUUAGGUGCUAUGGAAUUGUUUGCUUAUAUUGUUAUUUGAGGAAGUGUCAAUUGGCUCUGAAAUAAUAUUUGAAAUAUUAAAAAGAGGUGAUAGUGUUAAUGGUGAGUCCAAUUUGCUUCUCAAGAGCUGGUGGGCUGGAGUGGUGUCUCCAGAGUGAACCCAAAUGGGGUACUCUCCACUAGAACCUCUCCAAAAGGAAGCUGAUGUGGAGGGUUAUGGCUAGGGCUGCUUCAGGUAGCUCUCAGGCACCUGUGCUCUCUGCUAGUACCAACUCACUCUUGGGGAAGAUCACAACAUUCCAUUGCAGCUCUGGGGCCAGUCAGACUGGAGUUCGUGCAGAAAAGUAGAAUGUAAUAUUUUAGUCAGAUUUUUUUUUCACUGUACCAAAAAACCUGACAAGAACAACAUAGAGGGGCAAAAUUUAUUCAGGGCUCACAGUUUCAGAGGUUCAGUCCAUGGUCAGCUGACUCCAUAGAUCUGGGCCUAAGAUGAGGCAAUUUUGGUGGAGGGGAUAGGCGUUGUGGAGCAGCUUAGAACACAGCAACCAGAAAGCAGAGAGCACUCUGCUCACCAAGGACAAACUAUAAACCCCAAAGGCACACCUCCAGGAACCUACUUUCUCCAGCCACACCCUAGCUGCCUCUAGUUAUCGCCCAGUUAAUCUUUUUAGUAGUUCAAUUUAGUAAUUCAAUUAGUUUACACCUCUCAUAAUCUAAUCAUUUCACCUCUGAAAAUUCUUGCACUAUGUCACACAUGAGUUUUUUUUGGGAACACUUCAUUUCUAAAUCAUAACAUGCAUACACUUCUUUCUGCAGAGGAAACAUGGGUCCAUGCUGAAACAAGCAUGACUAUUUAUUUUUAAAUGUAAAGGAUAAUGAGUCCAUUGUGUCACUGAUUCCUAUUUCAAUUUUAUAUUUGUUGGGGAAGCUGUGUUCUUGACACUUCCGUAAUGAGAACUGCAACUUUAAACCUAAAGGGCCUCUUAGCUUAAACAACCCCAAAAGGUAUUUAUUUAGCCGAUUGAGCAGUUUCUAGAUGUCAGAUGGUGUUUUUUAAAAAAUCUAAUAAGAGAAAAGAGGGUUGUAAUCAAAAUUCUUAUUGUCUUUUACAUGUGGGCUCCACAUGUAAAAUUACUUUUACAAAUAAUUUUAAUUACCUUUACAAGUUUUGUAUUUCUUCAUGUAUAUCUGACUGUCCAGUGUCUAUUCAUUUUGGUCUGAAGGAUCCCUUUAGUAUUUUUUGGAGAUCAGCCCUGCUAGCAAUACAUUUUCCCAUUUCAUUUCUUUCAUUUUUGAAGGAUUGCUUUGUUGAAAUUGUUUGCUUGUAUCAUUAUUUGAGUGUCAAGUGGCCCUAAAAUGGUAUUUGUAAUAUGGUGGGUAUGGUAGUGCAUGCCUGUAAUUCCAGCAGCUUGGAAGGCUGAGGCAGGAGGACCACAAGUUCAAGUCCAGUCUCAGCAACUGGGCAAGGCCCUAAGCAACUUAGCAUGAUCCUGUCUCAAAAAUAAAAUAAGACAAAAAUUAAUUUAAAAAGGGCUGGCGAUGUGACUUAGUGGUCAAGUAGCUCUGGGUUCAAACCCUGGUACCAAAAUAAAAAUAAAAAAUAAUAAAAAUGUUAUUUGCAAUAGUACAAAGAGAUAAGUGCCAAUUGUGAGUCCAGUUUGUUUCUUGUGGACUGGUGAGCUGAAGUGGAAUCCCUAGAGUUAACCCAAAUAGGUUACUUUCUAAUCAGACCUCUCCAAAGGGCAGCAGAUGUGGAGAAUUCUUGACAGUCCCUCCCCAGCCUCUUUAAUUAUAUCACCUGGCUGCCUUUUGGUCCCCAUGGUUUUUGAUGGACAAUCAACGGUUUAUAUCUUAUUGAGGUCUCCCUAUUUGUGAUGAGUUGCGUUGCUGCUGUUCCUCCUCCUCCUCCUCCUCCUCUGAUUCUUCUUUUUCAUCUUUUUUUUUCCUUCUGCUUUCAGUAGCCUUGGUUUGUUGUUCCUGGUUUAAUUAAGAUGUGUUAAAUCUGUGGAUCUCUUUGAGUUUUUCCUACUUGGACUUUGUGUAGUUUCUUAGAUGUGUAGAUUAAUGAUUUUCAUCGGAUUUGGGAUGAUUUGGGCAGUUAGUUCUUCCAAUAUUCUUUCUCAAUUUCCUCUCUUUCUAACAUUUCUAUUCCUACCAUAGGAAUUUCCCAGUAAAGUUGAUGGUGUCCCACAGGUCUCUGAGCGUCUGCUCCUUUUUCUUCAUAUUUUUUCUUUUCCUUGGAGUGAAUGAGUCCCAUUAGUAAAUUUUUCAUUUUAGAUAUUGUUCUUUUCUUUUUGGUUCUUGCCCCUUUUAAUUUCUCUUUAUUGCUCUUCUUUAGUUAGUGAGACAUCAUUUUGAUAUUUCUUUUAGUACUUUAGACAUGAUUUUCUUUAUUAAUUUGAGCAUAUUUUAAAUAGUUAAUACAAAGGCUUUUUCUGGUAAGUUCAACAUCUGGGCCUUUUUAGGAACAAUGACUACUGACUGAUUUGAUUUUCCCUUUCUUAUUUCUUCUUCUCCUCCUCCUCCCUCCUCCUUCUUCUCCUCCUUCUCCUUUUCCUCCUUUGUGAAAAUCAGAAUUUUAAAUAAUAUAAUGUGGUAUUUCCCUCUUGCCUUUCCCCAGGGUUUCUUGUGGUUGCUAUUUGUUGUAUAGUUGUUUCUGUUUGUUUAGUUAACUGUCCUGAACUAAUUCUGUAAUGUCUUUGUAAUGUACUUCCUUGUUAUGCAUGGGUACUGAAGUCUCUGCCCAGUUAGUUUAAUGGUCACAUGGUGGUUGGUCAGGAAUAUCUUUAAAUGCCUGGAAUCAUUAUGUCUCCCAGUCUUUGCUGAGGUGCUUUGUGGGAUGUGAGGGCAUCGCUUUGUCAUUCCAUCACUUAACUCCACUUACUAUUCACUCAGAGACCAAUGGUCAGCUAGGAAAGAUUUUAAGGCCUUUUUACCUAUUCCUGGGCAUAUGUACAAACUUAUGCAUGUAACCAGCUUUACACAUUAAUGUGACUUUCCAGAACUUAGGGAUAUUUCAGAGCCUUUUAAAGGUGCCCUUGGCCAUCUCUCCCCUGCCUCUUUUAAGUUUUUUGAUUAGUGUUUUUUUGCCCAGUUGUUUUUGCCACCUUGGGCAGCUACAAUAUUAAGCAAUUGCUGAUGAUUGUUUUUGAGAAAUGGGCCCAGGAAAAAGUCUGCUCUUGCUGGAAGAGCUCUGAAUCUGGCCAAUAAAACACUGUCCUAAGAGGAGACUUUCAGGAACUUCCAGACAGGUCAGAUAUUGACAAUUCUCCAGAAUGGGAUUGCAAAUUACCAUAGACAUGUUUUAAUUGUUAUGGUGUCUGCUGUGCCACUUGUUUCAUCAUCACAUUUAUGGAGGGGAGGACUUUGGAAGGCUCUUACUCUGGUAUUCCCAUGACCUCUGUCCUCUUUUACUUUUUCUUUUUUUAUUUUGGUGCUGGGUAUCAAACCCAGGGCCGUGUGCAUGCAAGCACUUUUUCGUUUUUUAAUUUAAAUUUGCUUUAAUUAGUUAUACAUAAUCAUAGAAUACAUUUAUGCACUUUGAUAUAUCAUAUAUCAAAUGGGGUAUAAUUUCACAAUUUUCUGAUUAUACAUGUUGUAGAAUCACAUGGGUCAUGCAGUCAUAGAUGUACAUAAGGUCAUAAUGUCUGUUUCAUUCUACUAUCCUUCCUAUCCCCAUAUUCACUCCCCUCCCUCCCUUCACUUGCCUCUACUUAUUCUUCCCUAGUGCCUGCCCCCUGUUAUUGUGAAUUAGCAUCCCCAUAUCAGAGAAAACAUUCAGACUUUGGUUUUUUGGGAUUGGCUUGUUUUGCUUAGCAUGAUAUUCUCCAAAUCCAUCCAAUGCAUUUUGAUUCAUUGUACACAAUUGCAGUGCAACUUUUCAUUUUUCUGGUUGUACACAAUGUAGCAUUGCACCAUAUGUGCAGUCAUACAUGUACCUAGGGUAAUGAUGUCCAUCUCAUUCCACCAUCUUUCCUGCCCCCAUGCACCCUUCCAUCUCCUCCCUCCCUUUGCCCCAUUAAAGUUCCUCCAUUUUCACCAUCCCCCCCAUUGUGGAUCAGCAUUCAUUUAUUAAAGAGAACAUUUGGCCUUUGGUUUUUCAGGAUUGCCUUAUCUCAUUUAACAUGAUAUUUUCCAACUCCAUCCAUUUACCUGCAAAUGCUAUAAUUUUAUUCUUUUUUUAAUGCUGAGGAAUAGUUUGAUGAUGUUUUCUAUUCAUUACUUGAAAUUGAUCUGUUUAAAUCAUGUAUGACCUCCUCAUACAGUUUGGAUAAGACAUAUGUCUCUAGAAAUUUGUUGAUGUGUUCAAGAUUUUCUAUUUUAUUGGAUUAUAAAUUUUCAAAUAGUUUCUAAUUAUCUUCUCUAUUUCAGCCAUGUCCAUUGUGAUAUUUCCUUUUUCAUCAUGAAUUUUAGUAAUUUGAGUUUUCUUUCUUUUUCUCUUCAUUAGCAUGGCUAGGGUUUAUUUACUUUAUUUAUUUUUUCAAAGAACCAACUUUAUGUUUUGUCAGUUUUUUUAAUUGUUUCUUUUCUUUCAAUUUUGUUGAUGUCAGUUCUGAUUUUAAUUAUUACCUGUCUUCUACGGCUUUUGGUGUUGAUUUUCUAGGGCUUUGAGAUAUAAUGUUAGGUCAUUUAUUUGCUAACUUUUUAUUCUUUUAAUGAAUGAGCUCAAUGCAAUAAACUUUCCUCUUAAUAUUCCCUUCAUAGUGUUCCAGAGAUUUUGCUAUGUGGUAUCGGUGUUCUCACUUACCUCUAAGAAUUUUUUUAUUUUUAUUUCUUCUACUAUGCAUUCAUCAUUCAGUAGCAUAUUAUUUAGUCUCCAUUUGUUAGAGUAGUUUCUAUUUUUGAUUUUAUCAUUGAUUUCUAAUUUCAUUCCAUUAUGAUCUGAUAGAAUGCAGGCUAUUAUGUCUUUUUUUUUUUUGAUUUUUACUAAAAGAGUUGCUUUGUGGUAUAAGAUACAGUCUAUUUUAGAGAAAAAGCCAUGUGCUGCCUAGAAGAAAGUAUAUUCACUUAUUGAUGGAUGAAAUAUUCUAUAUAUGUUGGUUAAGUCUAAAUUAUUGAUUGUAUUAUUUAGUUCUAUGGUUUCCUUAUUUAGUUUUUGUUUGGGAGAUCUGUCCAGUAGUGAGAGAUGUGUGUUAAAGUCACCCAGUAUUAUUGUAUUGUGGUUUAUUUGACUCUUGAAAUUGAGAAGGUUUGUUUGAUGUAUAUAGAUGCUCCAUUGUUUGGGGCAUAUAUAGUUAUAAUUAUUAUGUCUUGCCAAUAUAUAAUUUGUCCUCUUUUUCUUAAAAUUUUCUUUUUUUUUUUUUUUCCUGAGCAACCCACUUGUUUGACUUGAAAAUUUUCUCUGAUUUGGAUUUUGCAUUGGUGUUUUUGAUGCAAUUCAAUAUGUCCCUUUGUUGGGGCUAUGUCCUUUUUGUGACAGGUACAAUGUUUGAAUUUUAAGGUUGUCUUAGUCCACUGUCCACAGAUAUAUCAGAAUACCUGAAAUUGGAUAAUUUGAAAUAAAAAAGGAUUAUUUUAGCUUGUGAUUUUGGAGGUCCAAGAGCAUGUUUGUGGCAUUUGCUUGGCUCUUGGCCUCAUGGAAGAAAACAGAAAGGCAAAUGGAUAAAUAUGGACAAGAGGAAGAGGACAGAGGAGCUGACCCACUUUACAAUAAUCCACUCUUUUGAAAAGUGAUCCAUUCCCACAAGAACUAACCCAGUCUUGUAAUAAAGACAUUAAUCCCUCUUAAAGCCUCCAUAUCCCAACACUGCUGCAUUGACAACCAAAUUUCAAUGUAAGUUUCAGCAGAAACAAAUCAUAUUCAAACCAUAGCAGAGGCCAAAUCUACAAUGCAGUUAAAUUUCUUUCUUUCUUUCUUUCUUUCUUUGCAUUCUACCAACUGAGCUAUAUCCUCAGCCCUAAAAUUUUUUUUGAGCAGGGUGCUAAGCAUAUUUUUGUGUAUAUAUGUUCUAAAAUUAAAAAAAAUAAAGACAGAAAUCUCAUUCAACCAAUCCUUGUUGGCUGGCUAGUAUAUAAGAAAAAUCCAACAUGUUGGUUUGUUGAAGCUAAAGUUUUUAGGAUCCAAAAAUGAUCUAUAAUAACCUUAGUAAUAUUCUAGUAUAGUAUAUUAAUUAUCUAUGAAUACUGGGUUAGUACACAUAAUAAUUAUAAUAAUUAUAAAAGCUACUACUUGUUUUAUGUUAAGCACUAUUUCAGCCCUCUUUACAAAAUAUAUGUUUUUCAUUUGCCUCUACUUGGCCUGUAGUAAACUGUGAAUAUAUAUAUAUACACACACACACACACACAGAUAUACAUUGCCCCUCCUUUUCAUUUUUAUUUGCAUUGAAAUUGUUGAUCAUAUUAUGUUCAAUAUCUGUAAGUCCUCAUUUUCACUUGUUUUAUUUUAAAAGAUUGUACAUAAAUUUAUGAUAGACAAAGUCUUAUUCUUCUGCUCUACUGUGGUUAUUCAAGAGGUAAUAUUAGUGUAUGCUACACAGAUUUAUCUAUUGAAGCAGCAGACACAGCAAACUAAGACACUUCACAUAUACAUGUGUGUGCGUGUGCACACACAGCAUCAUGUGUCCAUGGCCACGUAGGCCACUGCAACUCCCUAGCCUGAGAGUCCUGGAAAAGAGCAUGCACACUUAGGGUAGUACUUUACUUGUGUUUGUGUGUGUAUGUUUAACAUGCAUGUUCAAGUUUAGUAGUUAAUACUUCAUUUUCCAAGGCGACUGGCUAAGCCAACUCAUGGAUAGAUAUUUGUGUGAACAUAAAUUUCUAUUUCUUUGGUAUAAAUGCAUGGAUACUACUGCUGAAUUAUAUAGUACUAGCAUAUAUAAUUUUAUAAGAUACUGCCAAACUGAUUUUCAGAGUAGCUGGACCAUUUCACAUUCUCACCAGCAAUUUGUGAGUACUUCUACAUAUGUUUAUCAGCAUGUGGAGUUGUUAGAAAUUUUGAUUUUAGUACUUCUGAUAGGUUUUAGUAUCAUGUCAUUGUGGUUUUAAUUUGCAUGUCCCUAAUGUCUGAUAAUGUUUAAUAUAUAUUCAUGGCCCAAAUUUGUCAUUCGAAUAUCAUUUUCUAAUUGAAUAGCUAUUUUCUUAUUGAGUUUUAAAAGUUUUAAAAAAAUUUAAGUAUGUGUACUUUUUCAGAUUGGUGAUUUUCAAAUAUUUUCUCCUAGCCCAUAGUUUUUUUUUUUUAAAUCCCUGUACUGGGUAUUUCUCAGAGCAAAAACUGAAUUUUGAUGAGGUCCAAUUUAUGAAUUGGAUAUCUUUAUAUAGAUUGUGCUUUGGGUGUCAAAUAAAAACCUUCUGCCUAGUUUUAGGUUCUGAAUAUUUUCUCCCAUUUGUUUCUUAAAGUUUAUGGUUUUAUGUUCAAUAUUAAAUCUAUGACCCAUUUUGAUCUAACAGUUUUUUUUUUUUUUGUAGUGUGAGGUUUAGGCCAAUGUUCAAUAUUUUUCACAGUGGACCCAACACUAUUUCUUGAAAAGGCCAUCCUUCCUCCACUGAAUGACUGCUUUGAAAUGAUGGUCUCAGCUAGCCAUGCCAGCCUAGAAGCUGUUCAAUGCAUUCUUUUCCUUCUUAUCUUAAUGUGAUUGGAACUCCUCCCCCCCUCCCCCUGCUGCCUGCCUGCUUCCCUAUUUUAGAUUGGGAUUCAGAGAUUUUCUGUCUGAGAAUCAGUCUUCUCCUGUUUCUUUUUUAUCUUUAAUGAGUAGCAUUUCAUUGUCAUGGUAGAAAGUUAGAAAAAUAUGGCCAAAUGUGAUGCUUAGUCCAUAAGUCACAAGCAAGUUUGUGAAAAAGGAGGAGGAAAGGAAAAGAAGAGAGAAGGAAACAGAGGGCCUGGACUUGAGCUUUGAAUCCAUCACUUGAGAAAAAAUUUAAAUUAUACAUAGUAAUUGUACAUAUUUAUGGGGCACAGUGGGAUUUCCAUGUACGGAUACAGUGUGCAGAAACCAAAUCAGGGUGACUGGCAAGUUCCCCACAGUGAAUGUUUACCUGGUUACUUGGACUGCCUGUAAAUGGAAGCAACAGCCGCCCCUUCACAGACACUUUCUCAUAAAUAACAGUUUCCAAGUAGGUCUUCUUAAGGACAAGGCAGCUCCUUUCCUGCCCCCAGGUAGAGAUAUAAGAGCUGGGCUUGUUCUCUAGAAACCUGUCUCUCUUCUCAGAUAAGCUGAGCAGCUGGUGAGUGGACAGCUUGGCUUAGUGCCCAUGGAGAGAUGGGGGGGGGGUGCUGUGCUGGGCUCCCCCGGCCCCAGCCCAGCACACCCCCCUUCCUCCCUAAGCUCUGGUUGUAGAAAAAGCUCUGUGACGUGAAUAGAUUAGGAAAAGCGUGCCUGGCCUCUUCCUGCUGUCACUGGCUCUGGAGAUUAGUAGGGGGUGGCUUUGUGCAUGGGGUGGGGGCAGGGAUAGACACUGAAAUGUCAACUUUGGUUUAAAGGAAUGCUUCUCAGAAGAGAGGGAAUAGAAGCCCAGCCCUCCUGCCUGCUCCUGCAGUGUCUCUGCAUGUCUGCCCUUCCUGAAACAUGGAGCUCGGUCUUCCUUCUAGGGAUUCUUGCCUGCUCUUCAGGCAGGUGCUGGCAAAAGGGCUGGUGCUGGGACCAAAUCCAACUCUGCAUGUGGCAGCUAGAGAUGAAAGACAUGAAUCAUGUGUUGGAGGCAAAAAUGGUUGUUAACCUACUUUCUCAGACAGAGAAGGAGAGUAGACAAUGAAUGCCCCCACAGGCCCCCACACUCCUCUCCUGCAUAGGGAACUCUCCCUGAGGAGGGGUUCCUGUCAUGGUUCACUUGUUCAUUCAUUCAUUCAUUCAUUUACUUAACCUUUGGCUUAGAAGUUGAUUUGUCUAUUCACUCAUUCACCACCAGCAUCUGGGCCAGCCCCUCAGUGAACAUUCCUUUCACUUCUCAAGUAGCCUUGGCCUUGUACCCUGACCUGGGGAUGCAGGUGAUGAAAAUAUGGCAUCCAUGUACUUCAGAGGGGCUGGAGUCACAAGUGCUGGCCCAGAUGUGCUCGUGGACAUUGCUGGGUCUCUACCACAUGUGUGUCUUUGCAGGCAUGAGCCUGGCUUCUGUGACACUGGCCAGUGCCCUGCAGGUCAGGGGCGAAGCUCUGUCUGAGGAAGAACUCUGGUCCCUCUUGUCACUGGCUGCUGAGCGGCUCCUGGAAGACCUUCACAAUGGUAAGAGUUUGGGGCAGUGAAGCCACAGGGAACUGAAAGUGAAGCUUCCCAUACAAGCAUAUUUUUGGCUGCUGCUUCUCAAUUAAUUAUUAGUUUGAAGUAUUAAAAUGAGUAGGCAAAUGGCACCUUCCACACAGCUACGUUGGGAGACCCAUGCCAUGUGGCAGAGUCAGAAGGCCUUGCUUCUGCCUUGGUACUUACAUAGUGCUUAGGGAGGUGCUGGCUGGAGCAAUGUAGGCCUCUUAUGGUUUAGACAUGAGGUGUCCCCCCAAAAGCUCAUGUGUGAGACAAUGCAAGAAAGUUUAGAGGUGAAGUGAUUGGAUUGUGAGAGUUUUAACCUAAUCAGUACAUUAAUCCACUAAUAAGGAUUAACUGAGGCAGGUAGGGAGUGGGUGGAGGAGGUGGGUCAUUGGGGAUGGGCCUUUGGGGCAUGUAUUUUGUUCUUGGUGGGCAGAGUUCUCUCUCUGCUUCCUGAUUCUCAAGUCCUGAGCUGCUUUCCUCCUUCUCACCUUUACGACAUGAUGUUUUGCUUUAUCUCGGGCCCAGAGCAAUGGAGUUGGCCAUUUAUGGACU